rnacentral:tRNA from 1 species
GCCUUCGUAGUGUAGUGGUCAGCACGCUCGACGCGUAACCGAGAGGUCCGUGGUUCGAUUCUCAGCGAAGGCA